rnacentral:rRNA from 1 species
AAAUGAAUAGACGGGGACCCGCACAAGCAGCGGAGCAUGUUGUUUAAUUCGAAGAUACGCGAAAAACCUUACCAAGGCUUGACAUUUUAUGCAUAUUCUAGAAAUAGAAGAAAUGUUAGUAAUAACACAUAUAAACAGAUGGUGCAUGGUUGUCGUCAGCUCGUGUCGUGAGAUGUUGGGUUAAGUCCCGCAACGAGCGCAACCCUUGUCGCUAAUUGCCAAUAUUAAGUUAGGGACUUUAGCGAGACUGCCGUAGACAAUACGGAGGAAGGUGGGGAUGAUGUCAAAUCAUCAUGCCUCUUACGCCUUGGGCUACAAACGUGCUACAAUGGCCACUACAAAGAGAUGCAAUACAGCAAUGUGGAGCUAACCUCAAAAAAGUGGUCCCAAUUCAGAUUGUGGGCUGAAACUCGCCCACAUGAAGUCGGAGUUGCUAGUAAUCCCGAAUCAGCAUGUCGGGGUGAAUGCGUUCCCGGGUCUUGUACACACCGCCCGU